rnacentral:rRNA from 1 species
AGAGUUUGAUCCUGGCUCAGGAUGAACGCUGGCGGCAUGCCUAAUACAUGCAAGGCGAACGAGGAUCCAUCGGGAUCCUAGUGGCGAACGGGUGAGUAACACGUAGGGAACCUGCCCGCGCACCGGGAAUACGCUCUGGAAACGGAGAACAAAUCCCGAUGUACAGGAAGGAGGCAUCUUCUUUCUGUGAAACAUCCUGUAAGGGAUGGGGCGCGGAUGGACCUGCGGUGCAUUAGUUGGUUGGCGAGGGUAAAGGCCCACCAAGACGAUGAUGCAUAGCCGGCCUGAGAGGGCGGACGGCCACAUUGGGACUGAGACACGGCCCAGACUCCUGCGGGAGGCAGCAGUAGGGAAUUUUCGUCAAUGGGCGCAAGCCUGAACGAGCGAUGCCGCGUGAGUGAAGAAGGCCUUCGGGUCGUAAAGCUCUGUUGCGGGGGAAAAAAGGCAUCUGCAGGAAAUGGUAGAUGACAAAUGGUGCCCCGCCAGAAAGUCACGGCUAACUACGUGCCAGCAGCCGCGGUAAUACGUAGGUGGCGAGCGUUAUCCGGAAUGAUUGGGCGUAAAGGGUGCGCAGGCGGUCCUGCAAGUCUGGAGUGAAACGUAUGAGCUCAACUCAUGCAUGGCUCUGGAAACU